UAGAUAUAUAUAUUGUUAUGGUGCGUUAUUUAUGCGUCAAAUAUAUUUUCCAAUUAGGUAUAUUUUCAACCUUUAGGCUUCGGGUUCAAAUUAUAUUAACGCUACCGUAACACAAAUAGCAUGAAACCUUAUACCUUUUAUAUAUUUUAUUUACUUUCAACAAUAUGAAUUAGCGUCUCUAUAAUGUUAUAAUAAUAUAGUAAUCUUAAUAUAUCAACUUAUCUCUCUAUUUGUUUAAGCUGAACACAACUUUGAAUCUUUAUUCUUUAUACUUUGUAUUCCGUCUUCUUUAAUAAUAAUUAUUCCACAAUAUUCCAAUGUUCUUCAGUUUACUUGACGAGGCUUAAUUAUCCAGCCUUUUAAUUAUAUACUUCAGCCUUUGUUGGCUUAUGAAGUAUUUUACCCUAAAUGGCUCUUCUCACUUCACUCUCCGCUCUCGACUCUCAGGUUGUGCCCAGCUUUUAUAAUAAAUUUUAGAGGAAGAAAUCUGUAACUAUGACUAAUUUCCUCUACGCAAUAUGUUUGUCAAAGCAAGUUCUAGCAGUGUUUAUCAACCACAAAACUAUGUCCUGUUUGCGUGGUUUGUGGUACUAGGCGUUUCCCGUGGUUCUUUAAUCUCUCUAAAUAUUUGCUUAUUCAUGCGAGGAAGGUUGCCUAAGGUCUUCCUCUUAUAAUUAUAACAGUAUACUGAAUAUAUAGUAUUGAAUAGAGUAUUGAAUAUAUUAAAUAACAUGGUAUAACACUGCCAUGUUACAAUAUAUAUAUAUAUAUAUAUAUA